GACGUAGGGCGCGAGCGUUUGUCCGGAAUUAUUGGGCGUAAAGGGCUCGUAGGCGGUCCAUCGCGUCGGGAGUGAAAAGCUGGGGCUUAACCCCAGUCCUGCUUCCGAUACGGGUGGACUAGAGGUAGGUAGGGGAGAUCGGAAUUCCUGGUGUAGCGGUGAAAUGCGCAGAUAUUAGGAGGAACACCGGUGGCGAAGGCGCUGCUCUGGGCCGAAACUGACGCUGAGGAGCGAAAGCGAUGG
rnacentral:rRNA from 1 species